rnacentral:lncRNA from 1 species
AUUCACUCAGAGCAGACCGAAGACUGUGAGACUUCCUCCCCACAGUGAGCUAAAAGGACGCUUUUGUCAGAGUGGGGAAAUAAAAGGGCUUUAUGGGAAGGAAGAUAAGAACAGAUGAGUCAGAGGUUUCUGCUUAAUGGUGGUACAGCCAAGCAGACAGGCAAGUAAGUGGCCAUACUGCUACUGCCUCAUGUAGGAUCCGGCAGGCUGGUGGGUUAUCAGUCCUCACGUGGGACCCUCCCACCAUGGCAGCUGAGCACAUCCAAGCUGGGGGAUCCUGAAGAGACCUUCACCUGGGUGCCACGUGGAAGAUUGGCCAGCACCAUUUUGACUCCUGUGGAUGGGUGAGUGUUUUGCCCACCCCCACCCCAAUAACAUCAGCACCCAAACUGCACCUGGUCACCUGUCUACAUUCAGAUUUAGAUGAAAGCCACACCAUGGAGGCAGCCAGAGGCCCAUGGGAGAUGUCUGGAUUCGCAGAGGAAUAGCUCCAUGUGAUGCAAACCUUGACUAAUGGGAACAGGAAAAGGGAGGAAACCAGGAAGAUAAAUCUCCCUCCCUUCUCAUUGCUCCUUGCAACCCUUCCCACUUGAAGCAUGACCACAUUUAAUGAACAACCUGCUGUGUCUCUUGGAAGCUUGCUGCAAGGCAGCAAUCAGCACAAUAACAUUGUAUUGUAUCUUCCUCUGCUUCACUUCUCUUC